CUACGGGGGGCUGCAGUGAGGAAUAUUGCACAAUGGGGGGAACCCUGAUGCAGCAACGCCGCGUGGAGGAUGACGCAUUUCGGUGUGUAAACUCCUUUUAUAUGUCAAGAAAAUGACGGUAGCAUAUGAAUAAGCACCGGCUAACUCCGUGCCAGCAGCCGCGGUAAUACGGAGGGUGCAAGCGUUACUCGGAAUCACUGGGCGUAAAGGACGCGUAGGCGGGUUGGAAAGUCAGGUGUGAAAUCCUAUAGCUUAACCGUAGAACUGCACUUGAAACUUCUAAUCUAGAGUAUGGGAGGGGGAGAUGGAAUUAGUGGUGUAGGGGUAAAAUCCGUAGAUAUCACUAGGAAUACCUAAAGCGAAGGCGAUCUCCUGGAACAUUACUGACGCUAAGGCGUGAAAGCGGGGGGAGCAAACAGGAUUAGAUACCCUAGUAGUC
rnacentral:rRNA from 1 species